GUCUACGGCCAUGCCACCCUGAACAAGCCCGAUCCCGUCUCAUCUCGGAAGCUAAGCAGAGUUGGGCCAGGUCAGUACUUGGAUAGCAGACCACCUAGGACGACCAGGUGCUGUAGGCA
rnacentral:rRNA from 1 species